rnacentral:rRNA from 1 species
AGCGAACGCUGGCGGCAGGCUUAACACAUGCAAGUCGAACGGUCCUUCGGGAUAGUGGCGGACGGGUGAGUAACACGUGGGAACGUACCCUUAGGUUCGGAACAACACAGGGAAACUUGUGCUAAUACCGGAUAAGCCCUUCGGGGGAAAGAUUUAUCGCCUUUGGAGCGGCCCGCGUCUGAUUAGCUUGUUGGUGAGGUAAUGGCUCACCAAGGCUACGAUCAGUAGCUGGUCUGAGAGGAUGGCCAGCCACACUGGGACUGAGACACGGCCCAGACUCCUACGGGAGGCAGCAGUGGGGAAUCUUGCGCAAUGGGCGAAAGCCUGACGCAGCCAUGCCGCGUGGAUGAUGAAGGUCUUAGGAUUGUAAAAUCCUUUCACCGGGGACGAUAAUGACGGUACCCGGAGAAGAAGCCCCGGCUAACUUCGUGCCAGCCGCCGCGGUAAUAC